AUUGAACGCUGGCGGCAUGCCUUACGCAUGCAAGUCGAACGGCAGCACGGGUGCUUGCACCUGGUGGCGAGUGGCGAACGGGUGAGUAAUACAUCGGAACGUACCUUAUCGUGGGGGAUAACGCAGCGAAAGCUGUGCUAAUACCGCAUACGCCCUGAGGGGGAAAGCGGGGGAUCGCAAGACCUCGCGCGAUUAGAGCGGCCGAUGCCUGAUUAGCUUGUUGGUGGGGUAAAAGCCCACCAAGGCGACGAUCAGUAGCUGGUCUGAGAGGACGAUCAGCCACACUGGGACUGAGACACGGCCCAGACUCCUACGGGAGGCAGCAGUGGGGAAUUUUGGACAACGGGGGCAACCCUGAUCCAGCAAUGCCGCGUGAGUGAAGAAGGCCUUCGGGUUGUAAAGCUCUUUUGUCAGGGAAGAAACACCGGCUCUAACACAGUCCGGGAAUGACGGUACCUGAAGAAUAAGCACCGGCUAACUACGUGCCAGCAGCCGCGGUAA
rnacentral:rRNA from 1 species